CAAUCCCCAAUCAAACCCUAAGGCUAUUUCAUUUCUUCUUCAUCUCCAACAUCUCCAAAAUCUAGCCGCCCCCAACCCACCUCUGACCUCACUGGCGACUCACCACCAAACUACCCCAAAUCCUUACCCUGUAAUUCCCACCUCCUCCUUAUCCUAUAUUCCUUUUUUAUUUCUUCAAAAACCACCUAGAUCUCCAUUAAUUCCAGAUCUAACAACCCCCAGAAAUCCUAGGUUCCUUCCGUUUUGAUUUUUUCAAGCUUCAGGUUUCGAUUCAAGCUGAAAAUGACAUUAAUCGAUUGUUCUCGUUGACAUUAAUUUCAUUUCGUGUCGAAGAUACCGGAUUUCGGCCAACCAGUCCGAGUUCCAAGCUGCCAUUCUCUUCAGGGUACCAAGCUGUUAUUCGUCUAAUUCCGGGGCUGUUUUUGUUGAUUUAUCACUACUGAACUUCAUUUGGAUUUUUUAAUUACUGCUUUCUGCUUUUCAGGUACGGUCAAGCUCACUUGUAUCACUCUAUUGCCUCUAUGAAUGGAAACUUGUAUUGUCUGGUGUUGUGUUUGUGUUUAAUUUCCUUACUAGGUUCAACUGCAAUUGCUUCCAUGUAAAUUUCUGGUUUUGAUUGUUUGUUUGACUAAAUAUUGUGGUUGAAGUUAUCUUCUGACUAGUUUACACAACUACUCAAUGUCAUUGUGUAGGUUUAAUAUCACAGAUUCAUCAUUAUUUUGGUUUACAAGUUUUUAUAUGUUAAAAUCAUCUCAUAAUUAGUUUAUUGUAUAGUGUAUGAUGGUUUAUUCUCUGAAAAUGAAAAUUAGAUCAUACUCAAAAAUGAUAUCUAUAGUAAUAGAUUAAUCAGACAUGCUGCCUAGCCAUUUAGUUGUUGUGCAUGACAGCCGAUUCAUAAGGGUAGCCCCGUGGCUAUUUUUCUUAUAAAUCAAAGAUCUGUCCGAAGAAACGAGAGGCGUGUGAUUCGAGGAUAGCUAUGAUCAUGCAAGAUAGUGUGAUGGAAUCAUGGAAUGCAUUGAAUUAGCUUUAGAUUGGUGAAAUUUGUAAUUUGAAUCAUAAGUUCAGUUACACUACAUGAUUGCUAAAUUCUUAGCCCUGUGUUUUCAUGAAAUGCACAUAGUCGUCGAUAAUGAUUGUACUUGUUUACUUGAUUUUUUUUUUUUUAAUUAUUGGCAAAAUCAGUGUAUAGAUC